GAUGAACGCUGGCGGCGUGCCUAAUACAUGCAAGUCGAGCGAACAGAUGAGGAGCUUGCUCCUCUGACGUUAGCGGCGGACGGGUGAGUAACACGUGGAUAACCCACCUAUAAGACUGGGAUAACUUCGGGAAACCGGAGCUAAUACCGGAUAAUAUAUUGAACCGCAUGGUUCAAUAGUGAAAGACGGUUGUGCUGUCACUUAUAGAUGGAUCCGGGCCGCAUGAGCUAGUUGGUAAGGUAACGGCUUACCAAGGCAACGAUGCGUAGCCGACCUGAGAGGGUGAUCGGCCACACUGGAACUGAGACACGGUCCAGGCUCCUACGGGAGGCAGCAGUAGGGAAUCUUCCGCAGUGGGCGAAAGCCUGACGGAGCAACGCCGCGUGAGUGGUGAAGGUCUUCGGAUCGUAAAACUCUGUUAUUAGGGAAGAACAAAUGUGUAAGUAACUAUGCACGUCUUGACGGUACCUGAUCAGAAAGCCACGGCUAACUACGUG
rnacentral:rRNA from 1 species